UACAGAGGGGGCAAGCGUUGUUCGGAAUUACUGGGCGUAAAGGGCGCGUAGGCGGCCCUCUAAGUCAGACGUGAAAUCCCUCGGCUCAACCGGGGAACUGCGUCUGAGACUGGAAGGCUUGAAUUCGGGAGAGGGAUGUGGAAUUCCAGGUGUAGCGGUGAAAUGCGUAGAUAUCUGGAGGAACACCGGUGGCGAAGGCGGAUCUCUGGGCCUUACCUGACGCUGAGGCGCGAAAGCUAGGGGAGCGAACAGG
rnacentral:rRNA from 1 species